UUAACUAUUUGCUUUUUACUUCAGGCUGCAUCGUUGUUCAGGGUUUAGAGUUUGGCAGGAGCCCCGUUUAAGGGGACUCCCUUCGCGCCAAAGGUGAGGCGAUAGACGGAGGGUUGGUGUCGGGCGCCAAAGCGCCCUGUGACCCAGUAAUGAUCCUUCCGCAGGUUCACCUACGGAAA
rnacentral:misc_RNA from 1 species